rnacentral:lncRNA from 1 species
CCCACUUUUGCUUUCUGCUGGGGUUUCAUACCCAGGCCGCACCACUGCCGUCUUAUCACCCUCCACCGCGACUCCGCGUAAUCGGAGAUCAGAGGGGUGCCAAAUCUGGGUUCUUAAACCCUUCUUAACAGCUUUCAAAGGCCAAGGUAAGUCUCAUUCCCUUUAUUCUUUUUAUUUUUCGCAAUAUAGAACCAAAACAGAAAAAGAACAGGAAAAUCUAAAAAAACCAAUCCAAUGAUCACCUUUUUUAAAGAAUAAAUAAUCGAUUUCCUCUCCCACCUUUUUUUUCUCUUUACAGAUUUUCAAUCGGUUUAUAUAACCAAAAUAAAGGAAAAAUAAAAUCUAAACGAAAAUCACUAUUUCCUAUUAUUGUUGCGCUGUUAUUUUUUGUUAUUUCCUUCUUUCUCGUUGUUGUUUAAUUGAUGUUUGUUGCUGCAGAUUUGUGCGCGACGUGCGCAGGGGAGAGUCAUGCUGCGACAUUCGCGGCGGCUAGGGUGAGGCUGCUGUUGGGAUGUGCGGCUAAUUGCUUAGGGUUUCUAUUUUGGUGGUUUGGGUAAUUGUUUGGGUAAUUAGGUUUAAGUGGGUAUUGGGCUGUUAAUUGGUUUUGGCCCGGGCAUAUUUGGGCUUGUACAAUCUCAGUGGGAGGUUGUUAUUUUGGUUUGGUUACAAAAUAAAUUAUCUGUUUUGGUAUCCGUAAUUUGAUCAAAUUACUCAAUGCUUUUAUUUUUUCAUUUUCUAACUCAAGAACCCUAGGGACCCUUAUUCUGUC